rnacentral:tRNA from 1 species
GCCCUCAUCGUUCAAUGGAUAGGACACUCCCCUGCGAAGGGAGAAAUGCAGGUUCGAUUCCUGCUGAGGGCA